CUAAACCUAGUUAGCCCCAGAAACAUCGCACCCCCACAAUUCAUCUUCUUCUUCGAUUGAGCCAAGCCUUCCAUGCGAGUUCACUAGAAUGGUCCCCUCCCCUUCGUGUCAUUUGAUUCGCAACGGUUUUUGUCAGAAAGAAUACGAAUAUUCUCUCAAAAUCACACAAUUCUUGGUAUGAAAGGAUGAUUUUCUAGAUGAAUGGGAGCCAUGGAUUAAUGUAAAUAGAUCCAAGCCUUCCAUUUGUCCCAAAAAUUCUUCAAAAAAAAUCUGAAUAUGUUCAUAUUUUUGGCAGAAACUUGAAGAUUUUUGAAAGCUCUAUAUAUGAGGGAAGUUCUGUUUGCUAGGAGGGAGAAGAAAAAUCAGAGGUAAAAUCUGGGAAAUAUUUUAGGGUUCUAAG
rnacentral:lncRNA from 1 species